UUCUCUGCCGGGUGCCCACCGCCGGGGCUCAGCGGCGCUCCUGCGAGCGGUGGCGUCUGCCUCGCUUCCCUCCCCCCCCCCCCCCCCCGUGUGGGAGAAAGGCGAGGAAGUCUUGAGAAACAAGAGUUAGGAAACUGAGUGAGUUUCACAAACUUGGCCUAAUGAAGACUGACCAGUAAGAGAGACGCCUGUAAGAGAAAACUGAUAGGAAAAUGCAGGGUUUGCUGAGAGAUGAGACCUGAAUUUACAAAGAUCCUCAAAAAAAGAGAUUCCCAGAUGAGAACAGGAUGGAGAAAAGCCUGGAAAACAUUUGCUUUUUCAUCUGGUAGAGAGAGGGAGAGAAAAGUAGCAACUCGCGCUGACUGGAAUGCUGUGCUGCUGGCCACAGGGAAAGAUGCGUACUUAAUGAGCCUUCCUGGAGAUGCCACACUAUGCAGCACUAGAUGUUACCAACAGAAGAUGAUUACCAUGAGGCAGUGUCUCUGGAUAAGAGAGUCAAUUUGA
rnacentral:lncRNA from 1 species